rnacentral:rRNA from 1 species
AUUGAACGCUGGCGGCAGGCUUAACACAUGCAAGUCGAACGAGUGGCGGACGGGUGAGUAAUGCCUGGGAAACUGGCCGAUGGAGGGGGAUAACAACUGGAAACGGUAGCUAAUACCGCAUACCAUCGGAUGUGCCCAAGUGGGAUUAGCUAGUUGGUGGGGUAAAGGCCUACCAAGCCGACGAUCCCUAGCUGGUCUUAGAGGAUGACCAGCCACACUGGAACUGAGACACGGCCCGGACUCCUACGGGAGGCAGCAGUGGGGAAUAUUGCGCAAUGGGCGCAACCCUGACACAGCCAUGCCGCUGGUGUGAAGAAGGCCUUCGGGUUGUAAAGUUCUUUCGGUGACGAGGCGUUAACCACAGAAGAAGCACCGGCUAACUCCGUGCCAGCAGCCGCGGUAAUAC